GGAGGCAUAGCUCAGCUGGUUAGAGCGCUACGUUGACAUCGUAGAGGUCAUUGGUUCGAUCCCAACUGUCUCCACCA
rnacentral:tRNA from 2 species